GACCUGAGCUACAAUCACCCAGGAGACUCAGGAGUCAGACUGCUCUCUGCUGGACUGGAGGAUCCACACUGCAGACUGGAGAAACUCAAUGUGGAACAUGGUGGAGAGAACAGAAUGAAACCUGGGCUUAGAAAAUAUGUCUGUGAUCUCACACUGGACCUAAACACAGUAAACAGACUCCUCUCUCUGUCUGAGGGGAACAGAAAGGUGACAUGGAGGACAGAGGAGCAGCCGUAUCCUGAUCACCCAGAGAGAUUUGAGGACUGUAGACAGGUGCUGUGUAGAGAGGGUCUGACUGGGCGCUGUUACUGGGAGGUAGAGGGAGUGGGAGAAGGGCUGAUAUAGGAGUGACAUAUAAAGGAAUCAGCAGGAGAGGAAGGGGUAAUGACUGUUGUCUUGGAAACAAUGACAAGUCCUGGAGUCUGUUCUGCUCUGACAACAGUUACUCUGCCAGGCACAAUACUAAUCCCACUACCAUAGACGUCCCCUCCUCCAGCUCCCACAGAGUAGGAGUGUAUCUGGACUGGCCAGCCGGCACUCUGUCCUUCUAUAGAGCCUCCUCUGACACACUGACCCACCUGAUCACAUUCACCUCCACAUUCACUGAGCCCCUCUAUCCAGGGUUUAGGGUUUAUUAUGACUCCUCAGUAUCUCUGUAAA